GGAAGGGAGAAAGGGAGGGUGAGAAGAGAGUAAGUGAGUUCUUUCCCUUUAUUUUUACAUUAAACGUACAUUGUUUUCCAGUCAAGAAAGCCGAGAGAGAGAGAGAGAGAGAGAGAGAGAGAGAGAAUGUCCAAGACAACAAAAUAUAAUGUUGCUUGCUUGAUGCACUCAAGACUGACAACCAUCGAUGGUCUAAGCUCUAAGAGCAUUCUCUCCAACUUAUGAUAACAAAACAAACAGUAUCAUUUCAGCAAUACUUAGUCAGAAAACUCCCCUCUGGCACUUUCUUGAGUCUAAAAGAUAAUGAGUGGAUCCAGAGAAGUCAGUCGAGGGGGAAAUAGCCAGACUAAGAGGGAGAAAGUCGAAAUAUUACACUAUGAGAAUUUAUCACUCAUGCAAUAACUGCGUGGUUUAUGGGAAUUAUUGGAUCUGGCCCAGAAACCAAAUGAAAACCAAAACAGAAGAUGGAAUCGAAACAGAUUCUUGUCAGACCGCAGAUCACCAUGUCGAGCAGGAAAAUAUAGAAGAAAUACUUUUACAAUUUCGCAUUUCAGUGUGCAAUUCGUGGAAAUCAAUAUUUUUAAUUUUAAAA